AUAUUUGAGAGUUUGAUCCUGGCUCAGGAUGAACGCUGGCGGCGUGCCUAACACAUGCAAGUCGAGCGAUCUCUUCGGAGAGAGCGGCGGACGGGUGAGUAACGCGUGGGUAACCUGCCCUGUACACACGGAUAACAUACCGAAAGGUAUACUAAUACGGGAUAACAUAUAAAAGUCGCAUGGCUUUUGUAUCAAAGCUCCGGC
rnacentral:ncRNA from 1 species